rnacentral:rRNA from 1 species
UGCAGUCGAGCGGUACAUUUCUAGCUUGCUAGAAGAUGACGAGCGGCGGACGGGUGAGUAAUGCUUGGGAAUAUGCCUUAUGGUGGGGGACAACAGUUGGAAACGACUGCUAAUACCGCAUAAUGUCUACGGACCAAAGGGGGGGAUCUUCGGACCUCCCGCCAUUUGAUUAGCCCAAGUGAGAUUAGCUAGUUGGUAAGGUAAUGGCUUACCAAGGCGACGAUCUCUAGCUGGUUUGAGAGGAUGAUCAGCCACACUGGGACUGAGACACGGCCCAGACUCCUACGGGAGGCAGCAGUGGGGAAUAUUGCACAAUGGGCGAAAGCCUGAUGCAGCCAUGCCGCGUGUGUGAAGAAGGCCUUCGGGUUGUAAAGCACUUUCAGUAAGGAGGAAAGGGUAGUCGUUAAUAGCGGCUAUCUGUGACGUUACUUACAGAAGAAGCACCGGCUAACUUCGUGCCAGCAGCCGCGGUAAUACGAGGGGUGCAAGCGUUAAUCGGAAUUACUGGGCGUAAAGCGUUCGUAGGCAGUUGAAUAAGCAAGAUGUGAAAGCCCAGGGCUCAACCUUGGAACUGCAUUUUGAACUGUUCGACUAGAGUACUGUAGAGGGUGGUGGAAUUUCCAGUGUAGCGGUGAAAUGCGUAGAGAUUGGAAGGAACAUCAGUGGCGAAGGCGACCACCUGGACAGAUACUGACGCUGAGGAACGAAAGCGUGGGGAGCGAACAGGAUU